rnacentral:lncRNA from 1 species
AAAAUAUCAUUUUGCAAGUAUAGGCCACAAUACAACAUACACAAUGAACAAAGGGGCUUCGAUUCUUACCUGAGAGGAAUAGAUCAAUUUUGAUCAAGCGAAAAAGAAGCUUGCUUACAAAAACAAACUCCGACAACCAAACCUACAAAAUAGAUUACAAACGGAGUUAAUUCUCAACAUAAAUUAAGCAUCUAUAGUGAGAUGAACCCUAAAAAAAUUGAUUAAACAAGGCCAAUAUUUAAGACACUGACACCAUGUCUUAUUAGAGAAUAUAUUGAGAAAGAGAGAUCGUGUUUUGGUUGCGGCAGCCAUUAUCGAGAGAGAGAGAGAUCGAGUUUUUAGUCAAAAAUUAGUCUAAAACUAACCAAUGUAACAGUAAUUAACCGAAUCAUUUAAAUUCUCUCCAUCCUUCUUGAAACAAGAAAACGACCAACUUUUUGCUUGAAUUAAUUUAUCUCUAGCUCCCAUAUAAUCUUCAUUAUUUAUCAUUUUUUCUGCCAUUUUUUUACAUCUCAUUGCUUCUAACUUACUCUGUUGACUCAUUCUCUCUCUCUUUUCUCAAUCUUCUCAAUCUUAAAAACCAAUUCAUAUGUUUGAAACCCUAGAAAACUAAAAUGAUGAAUUAAAUUUAAAUUUCAAUAAUUUGAAAUUUAAAAUAAAAAUAAAAAAAAAUUGAAAGAACUUGAAUAUGAUUAAUUACUUUGAAAUUUCUCACUAUUUCUCAAAACCCCCAAUUUGAAAACCCUGAUUUGAAAAAUCAAAAUUUUUAGGGUUUGUUCAAAACCCCAAAACGAAUUCACAGCGAAUUAAACAACAGAAAAAGAUGAAAGAGUAAGGGUGAGAAGAAGAUGCUUACGCAGCGAGAAUAUGAGAAGAAUCACAGCGAUGGAGAAGAUCACAGCGAUGAAGAAUCACGACGGUGGUGGUGGUGGUGGUGGUGGGUAGUGGUGGUGGUGGUGGUGACUAAGAAUAGAGAGAGAGAAGAGUUGAGAGAGAGAGAGAGAGAGAUCGAGUUUUGGUUGUGGUGGUGGUGGUGAGGGUGAGAGAGAGAGAUCGAGUUUUGGUUGUGGCAGCCAUUAUCGAGCGAGAGUCGGUGUAAGGUUAUGUGUUUUCUUUUUUUCGUUAUGUUAUAUAGUCUGGCGAAUAAUCUAUGGCGAAUUCACGGUGAAUGAAAAAACACCUAUUUGGGUGGGCGAAAAAAUGGUUGAUUCGCCGAGUUUUUUUGCUGAAUAGGUGUAUCUUGACAAAAAAAUCCGGUGUAUAGAUAGUUGACUCCAAAUACGCCAAAUUCUCCGAAACUUUAUCAAACAUCAACAAACACGGUGAAACACAGAGAAUCAGCUAUUCGCCACGGGGAACCGGUUAUCAAACAACAUACACAAUGAACAAAGGGGCUUCGAUUCUUACCUGAGAGGAAUAGAUCAAUUUUGAUCAAGCGAAAAAGAAGCUUGCUUACAAAAACAAACUCCGACAACCAAACCUACAAAAUAGAUUACAAACGGAGUUAAUUC